rnacentral:rRNA from 1 species
UACGUAGGGUGCGAGCGUUGUCCGGAAUUACUGGGCGUAAAGAGCUCGUAGGUGGUUUGUCGCGUUGUUCGUGAAAACUCACAGCUCAACUGUGGGCGUGCGGGCGAUACGGGCAGACUGGAGUACUGCAGGGGAGACUGGAAUUCCUGGUGUAGCGGUGGAAUGCGCAGAUAUCAGGAAGAACACCGAUGGCGAAGGCAGUGGGCUGGGCCGGUACUGACGCUGAGGAGCGAAAGCGUGGGGAGCGAACAGG